GGUUUGUGGCUCAGUGGUAGAGCGCUCGCCUAGCACAUGUGAGGCACUGGGUUCCAGUCUCAGCACCA
rnacentral:tRNA from 1 species